GCGUAGGGUAGUGGGAAAUUUAAAGUUUAUUUAAAUAAAAAGUUUGCUCGAAAAAUGCUCGAAAAAGUGCUUUUUUGUCUGGAUGACUGGCUGUCUCAUGGCUUCAAUUUAAAUGAAAUUUUCUGGAUUCUUCUGAAUGUCGUGAUAUUUGUAUUUGAACCGUACCGGUACCGAAGCAAAUACAAACUGAAGUCCAGUGGCAGAGUACUGUAUAGCGCAGUGCAGG